UGAGGAAUAUUGGUCAAUGGGCGAGAGCCUGAACCAGCCAAGUCGCGUGAAGGAAGAGGGUUCUAUGGAUUGUAAACUUCUUUUGCAGGGGAAUAAAGGACGGUACGUGUCCUGUUUUGUAUGUACCUUGCGAAUAAGGAUCGGCUAACUCCGUGCCAGCAGCCGCGGUAAUACGGAGGAUCCGAGCGUUAUCCGGUUUUAUUGGGUUUAAAGGGUGCGUAGGUGGAUUGUUAAGUCAGUGGUGAAAGUUUUCAGCUCAACUGAAAAAUUGCCGUUGAAACUGUCGAUCUUGAGUGCAAAUGAGGUAGGCGGAAUGUGUUGUGUAGCGGUGACAUGCUUAGAUAUAACACAGAACUCCGAUGGCGGAGGCAGAUUACUGGGAUGCAACUGACACUGAUGCACGAAAGCGUUGGUAUCAAGCA
rnacentral:rRNA from 1 species